UAGUCAGAAAAAUGUUACACCUAUAAGUUAUUAGUUGAUAACCAAUAGGUCAAAUUCUGCUACAAUCACUGUAACUGGGAUACUCUAUUAUUGUUAUAUAAAUACCACACAAAAAAAGAGUAAAUUCACUUCCCAUAGAUUAAAAGUAUAAUGUUUAUUCAAAAGACACAAAUCAUAAUCAUAUAAAUUCCAUAAUAAUGGUUAGCAUGUGGUGAAGAUAUCAAAUUAGAAGCGCCACCUAACCUGAAUUAGUGCACCUAAUGGUAAUAGGUCAAUGGAAAGGUACUGGGUAGAGAGUAAGAUCUAGUAGACAUACUAUACACUGAAUUAAGUAUAACAGAGAGAUCCACCCUCUGAAAGUUUAUCAGUGUGCACGU